rnacentral:tRNA from 1 species
GAAAGUAUGGCUCAGUAGGUUAGAGCGCUUCGACGGAUGACGAGGCGUGAGGGGUACAAAUCUCGUUACGUUCA